CCUACGGGAGGCUGCAGUGGGGGAUAUUGCACAAUGGGGGGAACCCUGAUGCAGCGACGCCGCGUGGGUGAAGGAGUGCUUCGGCAUGUAAAGCCCUAUCGGCAGGGAAGAAGCAAGACGGUACCUGACUAAGAAGCCCCGGCUAACUACGUGCCAGCCGCCGCGGUAAGUCGUAGGGGGCGAGCGUUAUCCGGAUUCACUGGGGGUAAAGGGAGCGUAGACGGGCAAGCAAGCCAGGGGGGAAAGCCCGGGGCCCAACCCCGGGACAGCCCUUGGAACUGCAUGGCUGGAGUGCGGGAGGGGCAGGCGGAAUGCCUGGUGUAGCGGUGAAAUGCGUAGAUAUCGGGAGGAACACCGGCGGCGAAGGCAGCCUGCUGGCGCGCGACUGACGUUGAGGCUCGAAAGCGUGGGGAGCGAACAGGAUUAGAUACCCUUGUAGUC
rnacentral:rRNA from 1 species